rnacentral:rRNA from 1 species
UACAGAGGUGGCAAGCGUUGUUCGGAAUUACUGGGCGUAAAGGGCGCGUAGGCGGUCUUCUAAGUCUUGUGUGAAAUCCCUCGGCUUAACUGAGGAACUGCACGGGAUACUGGAAGACUUGAGUUCGGGAGAGGGAAGCGGAAUUCCGGGUGUAGCGGUGAAAUGCGUAGAUAUCCGGAGGAACACCGGUGGCGAAGGCGGCUUCCUGGACCGAUUACUGACGCUGAGGCGCGAAAGCUAGGGGAGCAAACGGG